GUGGGGAAUUUUGGACAAUGGGCGCAAGCCUGAUCCAGCAAUGCCGCGUGCAGGAUGAAGGCCCUCGGGUUGUAAACUGCUUUUGUACGAAACGAAAAGCCUGGGGCUAAUAUCCCCGGGUCAUGACGGUACCGUAAGAAUAAGCACCGGCUAACUACGUGCCAGCAGCCGCGGUAAUACGUAGGGUGCAAGCGUUAAUCGGAAUUACUGGGCGUAAAGCGUGCGCAGGCGGUUUUGUAAGACAGUGGUGAAAUCCCCGGGCUCAACCUGGGAACUGCCAUUGGGACUGCAAGGCUAGAGUGCGGCAGAGGGGGAUGGAAUUCCGCGUGUAGCAGUGAAAUGCGUAGAUAUGCGGAGGAACACCGAUGGCGAAGGCAAUCCCCUGGGCCUGCACUGACGCUCAUGCACGAAAGCGUGGGGAGCAAACAGGAUUAGAAACCCCAGUAGUCC
rnacentral:rRNA from 1 species